rnacentral:rRNA from 1 species
CAGUCGCCGCGGUAAUACGUAGGGUGCGAGCGUUAAUCGGAAUUACUGGGCGUAAAGCGUGCGCAGGCGGUUGUGUAAGACAGGUGUGAAAUCCCCGGGCUUAACCUGGGAACUGCGCUUGUGACUGCACAGCUAGAGUAUGGCAGAGGGGGGUGGAAUUCCACGUGUAGCAGUGAAAUGCGUAGAGAUGUGGAGGAACACCGAUGGCGAAGGCAGCCCCCUGGGCCAAUACUGACGCUCAUGCACGAAAGCGUGGGGAACAAACAGGAUUAGAUACCCGCGUAGUCCCUGUCUCUUAUAC